rnacentral:misc_RNA from 1 species
UACGGAAGGUGCGAGCGUUAAUCGGAAUCACUGGGCGUAAAGCGCGCGUAGGCGGUUAGAUCAGUCAGAUGUGAAAGCCCCGGGCUCAACCUGGGAACUGCAUUUGAUACUGUCUAGCUAGAGUGUGAUAGAGGGAAGUGGAAUUCCACAUGUAGCGGUGAAAUGCGUAGAUAUGUGGAGGAACACCAAUGGCGAAGGCAACUUCCUGGAUCAACACUGACGCUGAGGUGCGAAAGCGUGGGGAGCAAACAGG